rnacentral:lncRNA from 1 species
UUUUCUCUCACUUGUUCCAACGAAAACUGUCUAAUCCUCAUUUUAGUUCUCUUGCUGAUUUCAAUGGCAACAAUCUGGAUACAUCGUUCCACUCUCUUUUCGGUCACAUAAAAGAAAUUAGCUCUUGGCAUCAUAUGUGUUGGGGAUCACCCAAAAACUAAACAACCUUGAGCGCCGUUCGUAGAUAAAAACUCUCUAACCUCGCAAGUUCUGGACCAGGGAACAAAACUUAGUUAACCUCGCAACAUCUUGUGGAAACUGUUCUGGCAAUAAAACUCUUAUCCUCGCAUCCUCUUUGUUACCUUAGGGACUCGAAGCUAGCGAGUGAUGA